rnacentral:tRNA from 1 species
UCCCUGGUGGUCCAGUGGUUAAGACUCCAAGCUUCCAAUGCAAGAGGCCCUGGUUCAAUCCCUGGCCAGGGAA